GUCACAUGCAAAUCAAUACCCAAACAGCAUUUGUAGAAGAAAGAGGGAUGAAAAGGCUAGAAAAAAGAUUGAAAAAUGGUAGGGAGUUGCCAGAUGGCAGCUGCUGCUUGGGGACUGGCUGGGCAUCGGUUGGUGGGUGGUGAGCAAUUCCUUGUGCAUCACUAGUUUUGUAUAUGUAUUUUAUACAUUAUAUUAUUAUUACUAUUAUAUUUUUUUCCUGUCUUUUCUUUCUUUGUACAUAGAACCCAUGAGUUCUGAUUUUUUUUUUUCCUUGCAUAUCCUUACCUGACUACGGAAAAGGACAUUCUGCUUUCUGCAGCUCCACAAGCACAUCCCCAGUAGCAAUACCACCACUGCAGCCUUAGGCAUUUUCUGUCUGCUGCUGAAGUGUCUUUCUGUUAUGUUCGUAGAAAAAGUUGCCUCUCAAAACCUAUCAGAUUUAGGCAGCAUUGUCUCAAAUACAAAAGAUCAGCCAAGGCUGGACUUUUAAAGGGAUAUUGAGAGAUCCCCGAGUGCAGUCUCUCUUAUUAAGCAGGGUUAGUAAGACCUUCCCAACAGAUGGCUGUAGGGGCAUGCAUGAGCAGCUGCUGGAGGCCAUGUCCUCUUAAGCAAGAUGGGCUGGAAUUGGAGUCACAUCCCAGCGGCUCGAGGGUGACUGUGUGGAGAGGCCAAGAGACACUGGAGACCUCAAAGGCAAAAGCUGCUGUCCAUCUCGCUGUCAGACCAUAUUGAGAGGCUGUAUGAUGAAGGACUUUGCCGCUCUAACCAACGAAUCCAGAGUGGAAAACCGAAAAAUAAGGGGAAAGAUCAAAAAGUUGAAGACUCUUUUAUUGCUGUUUUCUGGCUGGUGUUUGAUUAUUUUCAAGUCAUUAUUAUGAGGAAGAAUAUGUUUGCAUGUUGGCACUUCAUCUGAGUUCUCUCAUUUCCCUCUGUGAACUCCUUGCCUCUGAUGAAGAACCAAACAGGAAUGGGAGCAGCUGCUCUUUAUGGAGGAGAAAUGCAGUGCAUCAGCAUUAGGAACAAUAAACAUAAAUCAGAAGCAUCAAGUGGAGAAGAGCUGCACUAAUCAGAAGACACACUGUCUGGGAAGCAAGCCCAUUCUGUUCUUACAGGAUCCCUUCCACUGCAAGCAACAGACCUCAAAAAAGCCCAGAGAGAAAGCCUCUCAGACCUAAGCAAUUUAAAUGCAAUGAACGCGAUUUGGCUUGU
rnacentral:lncRNA from 1 species